UAAGAUGGAUAUUCCGCUUGGCUUUACCGCUCGGACUACUAUAGCAUUAUGUUUCUGUCCACAAAUGUUCCUCAUUUUCUUGGCAGCGAGCGAGGAAACAAUGUGCUUGACUGCUUCAGAGGAGGUGGGGGAGAAGGAAAAAAGAAAGUACAUAACUCUGCUGCGACCGUUGCGGUGUUGUUAUAGGCCACUGGAGAUGGAGUGAUAUUUCAGCUGCCUCCGUCUCGACACACAAAGUGCUAGACAUAUGUUGAGGUGUUGUAAUUCUGCCACCUAGCCUGACUUCAGCUGAACCCUAAUUCAACCAAACCAUUGGAGGCCUAGAAGCGCAAGGAUGCUUUUUUGUGUUGCUGGAGGAGCAGCUUGACAUGAUGCAUUUGGUCUGAAUGCAAGAAAUAUAAUGCUGUAAGUCAGGGCUUGCCAGUCCUGUUCCUGAAGAUCUACCUUCCUGCAAAGUUCAGCUCCAAACCUAAUUAAACCUUCAGGAACACUUUAUGAUUUUGUGUUGAAACUAGGAACAAGAUUUGGAAACAAGACACCUGAAGUUAAUUUCUUAAGCUGGUUGAGGAUGAUCUUAGGUGGUUAAAGAUGAGUGACCAAUGAUGGAAAAAUGCCCUAAACCCAUCACAAUCUGGGAGACCAGCAAACCAGCUUAGACUGUUUUUUUACAGCAGGUUUUGAGCUAUGCAGAUUUUCUGUUUGCAAAUGUAAUUUGGGAGUACUGAUAUUUGAAACUUGUGACAAAAAUUCCAGUCUUGACGUCAACAAAUUUUUAUAAUGCUGAAUAAUUCAAAUAUAAACACACAUUUCUUUUAGAAAAAAAACAUCAAAUGGAGGGAAUGAGAAGAAAAGUGAGAUAUUGAAGUAUAACGUUGCCUGGCUACUGUUCAGAAGACGUCCGCUGCAACAGCUUGGCCAUGUAAUAACAUGCAUCAACGAUAUUUAAAACAACGACGCUGCUACCGCUGCUGAUGAGCUCUCUUGUCCUCACAUGUUUACAUCAGCCAGAAUGUUCCCGCUCAUUUCGGCCUCAUGAUUCAUGAGAGGAACCGACACAUUUUUCAUGGAGUCCUCUGAGUUCAUAUAAACGCUGUGGAUGUUUGGAGAGCGCCGGUGGAAGAGGUCUUCCUAAGAUCCUUUAAAUCCAGGGAAUUAGGAAUACUUGCAGCUGACACUGUGGAAUCUCACACUUUAUAUGUUGUAGUCAGAGAUUACUUUGGCCUUUGUAAGCAGAAGUCAUAUUUGUAUGAGCAAACAAGCUUUUAAAAAUGUGAUUUAGCAACAUUCUCAACUGUUGUUAAAGCAAUACUGACUAUAAGAGUUAAA